AUCAGCCUUCGGGGCAGGGUGAGGAGAUCGCUCCAACUCCCGACCGGCGGUAAAGCCCGCGAGCGCGAGUUGCGCAUGAUCUGGUGGAACUCCAGGGCCGACGGUACAGUCCGGAUGGUAGAAGGCUUUC
rnacentral:ncRNA from 2 species